rnacentral:rRNA from 1 species
UGCAAGUCGAACGGCAGCGCGGGGCAACCUGGCGGCGAGUGGCGAACGGGUGAGUAAUAUAUCGGAACGUACCCAGAAGUGGGGGAUAACGUAGCGAAAGUUACGCUAAUACCGCAUACGAUCUACGGAUGAAAGUGGGGGACCUUCGGGCCUCAUGCUUUUGGAGCGGCCGAUAUCUGAUUAGCUAGUUGGUGAGGUAAAGGCUCACCAAGGCGACGAUCAGUAGCUGGUCUGAGAGGACGACCAGCCACACUGGGACUGAGACACGGCCCAGACUCCUACAGGAGGCAGCAGUGGGGAAUUUUGGACAAUGGGCGCAAGCCUGAUCCAGCAAUGCCGCGUGAGUGAAGAAGGCCUUCGGGUUGUAAAGCUCUUUUGUCAGGGAAGAAACGGCCUCAGCUAAUAUCUGGGGCUAAUGACGGUACCUGAAGAAUAAGCACCGGCUAACUACGUGCCAGCAGCCGCGGUAAUACGUAGGGUGCAAGCGUUAAUCGGAAUUACUGGGCGUAAAGCGUGCGCAGGCGGUUUUGUAAGUCUGUCGUGAAAGCCCCGGGCUUAACCUGGGAAUUGCGAUGGAGACUGCAAGGCUUGAAUCUGGCAGAGGGGGGUAGAAUUCCACGUGUAGCAGUGAAAUGCGUAGAGAUGUGGAGGAACACCGAUGGCGAAGGCAGCCCCCUGGGUCAAGAUUGACGCUCAUGCACGAAAGCGUGAGGAGCAGACAGGAUUAGAUACCCUGGUAGUCCACGCCCUAAACGAUGUCUACUAGUUGUCGGGUCUUAAUUGACUUGGUAACGCAGCUAACGCGUGAAGUAGACCGCCUGGGGAGUACGGUCGCAAGAUUAGAACUCAUAGGAAUUGACGGAGACCCGCACAAGCGGUGGAUGAUGUGGAUUAAUUCGAUGCAACGCGAAAAACCUUACCUACCCUUGACAUGUCAGGAACCUCCGAGAGAUUGGAGGGUGCCCGAAAGGGAGCCUGAACACAGGUGCUGCAUGGCUGUCGUCAGCUCGUGUCCUGAGAUGUUGGGUUAAGUCCCGCAACGAGCGCAACCCUUGUCAUUAUUUGCUACGCAAGAGCACUCUAAUGAGACUGCCGGUGACAAACCGGAGGAAAGGUGGGGAUAACCUUCAGUCCCUAUGGCCCUUUUGGGUAGGGCUUCCCACGUCAUACAAUGGUACAUACAAAGGGCCGCCAACCCGCGAAGGGGAACUAAUCCCAAAAAGUGUAUCGUAGUCCGGAUCGCAGUCUGCAACUCGACUGCGUGAAGUUGGAAUCGCUAGUAAUCGCGGAUCAGCAUGCCGCGGUGAAUACGUUCCCGGGUCUUGUACACACCGCCCGUCACACCAUGGGAGCGGGUUUUACCAUGAAGUAGGUAGCUUAACCGCAAGGAGGGCG